rnacentral:rRNA from 2 species
UGGGGAAUAUUGGACAAUGGGCGCAAGCCUGAUCCAGCCAUACCGCGUGAGUGAAGAAGGCCCUCGGGUUGUAAAGCUCUUUUGUUGGGAAAGAAAUCCUGUUGGUUAAUACCUGGCAGGGAUGACGGUACCCAAAGAAUAAGCACCGGCUAACUUCGUGCCAGCAGCCGCGGUAAUACGAAGGGUGCAAGCGUUACUCGGAAUUACUGGGCGUAAAGCGUGCGUAGGUGGUUGUUUAAGUCUGUCGUGAAAGCCCUGGGCUCAACCUGGGAAUUGCGAUGGAUACUGGGCGACUAGAAUGUGGUAGAGGGUGGCGGAAUUCCCGGUGUAGCAGUGAAAUGCGUAGAGAUCGGGAGGAACAUCCGUGGCGAAGGCGGCCACCUGGACCAACAUUGACACUGAGGCACGAAAGCGUGGGGAGCAAACAGG